rnacentral:lncRNA from 1 species
UUAUUAUUAUUAUUAUUAUUAUUAUUAUUUGCAUAUAUGCAUUUCUUCCCUUCAACACCCUCGUGCCUCCGACAUCCCCUUUGCGUUCGGCUCUUCCAAGCCUCGCUACAUUGCCUUGCAAACAUGCAAGCUUUGUGAUGCCCUCGGCACCCUCGUGCCUAGACACAUUGCCUUGCGACAUGCAAGCUUUGUGCCUUCGGCAUCCCCUUUGCUUUCGGUACCCCCGUACCUAGGUCUAAUGUCUUGCAACAUGCAAGUCUUAUGCCUUCGGCACCCUCGUGCCUAGGCCCAUCGCCUUGCGACAUGCAAUUCUUAUGCCUUCGGCACCCUCGUGCCUAGGUCCAUUGCCUUGCGACAUGCAAUUCUUAUGCCUUCGGCACCCUCGUGCCUAGGCACAUUGCCUUGCGACAUGCAAGCUUUGUGCCUUCGGCAUCCCCUUUGCCUUCGGCACCCCCAUGCCUAGCUCUAUUGUCUUGCAACAUGUCAGUCUUAUGCCUUCGGCACCCUUGUGCCUAGGCCCAUCACCUUGCGACAUGCAAUUCUUAUGCCUUCGGCACCCUCGUGCCUAAGCACAUUGCCUUGCGACAUGCAAGCUUUGUGCCUUCGGCACCCCCGUGCCUAGCUCCAUUGUCUUGCAACAUGCAAGUCUUAUGCCUUUGGCACCCUUGUGCCUAGGCCACAUCGCCUUGCAACAUGCAAGCUUUGUGCCUUCGGCACCCUCGUGCCCAACCACAUUACCAUGAGACAUGCAACUUUG